rnacentral:tRNA from 1 species
UAGAAAGACAGGACUCGAACCUGCACAAAAGAGCUCAAAACCCUUUGUACUCCCACUAUACUACCUUCUACC